CCUACGGGUGGCAGCAGUGAGGAAUAUUGGUCAAUGGACGAGAGUCUGAACCAGCCAAGUAGCGUGAAGGAUGACUGCCCUAUGGGUUGUAAACUUCUUUUAUAAAGGAAUAAAACGAGGCACGUGUGCCUUUUUGCAUGUACUUUAUGAAUAAGGAUCGGCUAACUCCGUGCCAGCAGCCGCGGUAAUACGGAGGAUCCGAGCGUUAUCCGGAUUUAUUGGGUUUAAAGGGAGCGUAGAUGGGUUGUUAAGUCAGUUGUGAAAGUUUGCGGCUCAACCGUAAAAUUGCAAUUGAUACUGGCAGUCGUGAGUACAGUUGAGGGAGGCGGAAUUCGUGGUGUAGCGGUGAAAUGCUUAGAUAUCACGAAGAACCCCGAUUGCGAAGGCAGCUUACUAAACUGGGACUGACAUUGAUGCUCGAAAGUGUGGGUAUCAAACAGGAUUAGAUACCCUGUAGUC
rnacentral:rRNA from 1 species